UUUCCGUAGGUGAACCUGCGGAAGGAUCAUUAUUGUAUAACCGCGGUGCGAGGGCUGUCGCUGACCCGAAAGGUCGUGCACGCCCGAGUCCCCUCACACACAUCCAUCUCACCCCUAUGUGCACCACCGCGUGGGUCCCCCUUUGGCUUGUUCGGCGGGGGGCUUACGUUUUCACACAAUCUUUGUAUGCAGUGUAGAAUGUAUUUUUUGUUUUUGCGAUCACGCAAUCAAUACAACUUUCAACAACGGAUCUCUUGGCUCUC
rnacentral:misc_RNA from 1 species